rnacentral:rRNA from 1 species
AGUAAAUUGGUUAAGUUAGAAAGGGCGCACGGUGGAUGCCUUGGCACUAGGAGCCGAAGAAGGACGGGACUAACACCGAUAUGCUUUGGGGAGCUGUACGUAAGCGUUGAUCCAGAGAUUUCCGAAUGGGGGAACCC